UGAUGCAAAUUAUAUACGAUACAUAGUUUAAGCAUGCACUGUUUGAAUUAAUUUGUUAUUUUGUCAUGGAGCUGCCAGCUUCAUAGUUUGGUUGGACACUUGCUUUCUGAGUCUUCAUUUCUGAUAUUUACCAGAAGAAACAAAUGAUAACUUUUUACUCAUGUCACCAAUAAAACUGUUGUUUAUGUUGUUGUUGUUGUUUUAUUUACAUAGAUUAUAUGUGUGUUUGAGGAACCCUGUCAGCAAAGACAGCAAUAUUAAUUCAGAAGUCAAAGAAUUUAGGAAGGAAAAUCUCAUUACUGAGGCCCCAGUGUGACCCAUCACACAUUAUAGUGGAUGAGCUCUUAAGGAGGAAAAUAGGCUGUGGUUGCUGUAGCUUACAUUUGGACAGUUUGCUCAGAGGAUUCGUUUCUACUACUCAUACCCUGAUUUAAGUUGAUCUGAAGUGAAGCUGGUGACAGCCUGAAGCUCAAAAUCUGGCAAAGAGCGAGCAACAGAUGGUGAGCUGACCAUCAGUGACAUAUUUGAGCAGUCUCUUCAGAACUCCACUCAGCUUUUAAGACAAUCAAAAAUGUGAUGUGUAUAAAAGUUUUAGUCAUUUCUAAGUUGCAGGUUAUCACCACAAAGCCAUUGAAAAGUUCAUGUGGCAGAUCAUGCUGUCUGGGAUUAGAUAGGACAAGCUUCCUGUGCAAUAUUAGUAAUAUAUAGAAAGAAUGCCUUGAAGAAAUGCAAUACUUAAGCAGGCAUUAAUUGAUGAUAGAGACUUGCCUCCACAAAGUUUAAUUCUCUGGAGCUUAAACAAAAGGAGAAGCCAAGUAUGCACCUUUUUCGUGGUACAGAAAAGGGAAGAUAUUAAUGGGCCCACCUGGACUUGUGAGAGAUAUCAGCACACGUCAGCACACACUGACCCGCUUCAAGCAGUUUCCAAAAAGUUUUGAAUAUUUUGUUGAAAAAAAAGCACAGUAUAAACCAAAACUCUCUUAGUGCUUAAGUUCACGUGCAGAGGGAAUGUUUUCUCCUAUUUUUUAAUAAAUUAAAGUUACAGAAAAACCAGCAUGCACUGACCUCUUCUCAGGCUGUGUGCAUGUGCACAGCAAGGGAGGGGAUUCAGUGACGUGCCUCCUGACCUUGACUUCUCUGAAGAUAGAGAAGAUGGUGGUUUCACAUGCUCAGCUGUUUGAUUUCCUUUCCACUAGCCAUAAUUAACAUUUAUUCAAGCAACAUUAGGAAGAAAAUAAAUAUUUCAAAGCAGCUAAUUACAGCAUCCAAAACAUCCUCCAAGCUAUUUUUUUAAUGAGGAUGUGCUUUGUUCCUGCAAUAGUGUAAUAUUAAUUUCAUGAAGCAAUUAAACAAACCAAAAACAGAUACAAUGCAGAAAGGCGUAUGUUUUCUCCUGUUUACAAAAAUGCUCACUUGCAUUUCAAUGAGUUACUUGUGUAAAGCUGAUCAUCAUAAGCUGCGUAAACCUCAUAUAAAUUGAGACCCAAGCUUGGAGAACUUGCUCUGAUGCAAUUUGUAAAGAUUUCAGUAGAAAUUUUGCCUGCGUAUAAACUUGGGCUUAAUGCAAAUAUGCUCUUUUGUUGAAGUGUAUUAAUCUCUACUUUUAACAAAGGAUUAGUUAUGUUUACUUCACCC